rnacentral:lncRNA from 1 species
AUUUAAUUGUUGGAUGUAAUUGUUGGAUUUUCGAAAGAUGGGUGUUAAUGGGUCAACCCCUUUUAUGCUGUUUCUCCUUGCUCUCUAGCUGUUCGACGAAAUGUCUGAAUGACGAUUGUAUUGAUGAUGCCUAUUGGGUUAUUGUGUUAAUUAAUCUAUCUUUUUCUGUACAAGUUCAAUCUGGUGGCUGCUCUAAGCAUUAGUAUAUUUUUCAAAGUGUAUCUGCCUCAAUUCAGCUCUCACCAAAUUGUUUGUCUGGGAUUCACCUUUUUAUUUAUAUUUUUCCAGAUUUUUGGUUUAGAUUUUGUUAAUUAACUCUAUGCGAUUGCUUUAAUUCCCUGUUUUGGUUUAGAUUUUUGGCUUUUUCUUCUAUGGCUGUUUGUCUGCGAUUCACUUUUCUAUUUAUAUUUUUUCAAAUUUUUGGUUUUGAUUUUGUUAAUUAACUCUAUGUGAUGGCUUUAAUUCCCUGUUUUGGUUUAGAUUUUUGGCUGGGAGUAAGCGAUUGCUUUACUUCCCUUUUUUGCUGGUUUAUGAGUUCUAAUUUUCUUUGAAUUGAUUCCAAUGUCUAAGGUUUUAAGUUGGCUGAGGUCUCCGAGCACAUCACCAGCAAGGGCUCCGAGAACUGCAUAAAAAGGUAAAUGCUUGCUGCCACAAUAAUGUUCCUUUGAAUCUUACUGAGUUGGAGAGUUUUAUUGUUAUAACUAUGUCCUGUCAAAAUUGUUUGCCUCCACCAAUGAAUGGAUUGUGCAUUAUUUAUUUGGAGAUUUAUAGGCUACUAUGUUAUUCUCAUGGCCUUGAUUGUGAACUAAUUUGUUGACACCAAAUGAUGUGAUUAUAUGGUAAUUUUUUUGUAUUUCCGAGCAGUCCAUACAAUCAUUGAUUACUGAUUGUGUCACAAGGAAUAUUAAACAGAUUGUCUAAGGUUUUGAGGGUGGCUUGAAAUAGGCAGUGUGCUACAAUUUUCUAGGAUUUUUAUGUAUUAAACUAUUCUCAGAAGUUGUUGAUUCUGCAUGGUUGAUUACGAAUGAAGCUGGAGCCUGGAACAAGUGAAACUACAGUUUCUUUGUAUAAAAGUUACUCACCUUUGCAAUAGCCUUAGACGGGUAAUCCCCUCCGAGUCUACCAUCCACACACUGGUCUAAGCAUUAUAUGAGUACUCAACAUACAAGUAGGAUUUCAAAUUACUUUGGUGAUAAGUUGAUCGAAUUUCGGGUGAGUUAUUGGCUCCACAAUUGCAAGAAAUCUGUUUUCAAAUUUUGCAUAUUAUGUGUUUGACAAAAUGCUUGAGAGAACCGUGUGAAUUUUUCUUUACAUUCUUGAGAUUGUCUCUUGCUGAUUCUUUUCUUCUUAUUUUUGUUGCAGGGAUUAAAGUAGAAGCUUGAGAUUAGAGCUGAGAUUAGAACUGCUGCAGAACUUUGAUUUUCCUCCGACUUCUUUUCUUGAAAGAAAUCUGGUGAGCUAUGUUUUUGGAAUUUAUAAGAGCUUUGCCUCUGUAAUCUGCACAUCAGUUGCAUUCAAACCUUAAACUGGUUAUGUAUAUAUAUGAUCCUAUUUAACUAGCCAUGUACAAGCUUCAAAUGGGGAAAAUUCUGCUUACCUCAUUUAUAUAUAUUUUUCGAUGGAAUAAAGCUUUGGAUAUGAGGUGAUAUUGUAGUUUAUACUUCUCUUGGCUUCAUGUUGUUAAUAACUCUUAUUAGAAUAAUAAUAUGAAUGCGUUUGUAUGUAUUAUAUAUGAAUUAUGAAGGGAUAACAAAUGCAAUUGUGUGUUGUGAGCAAACUAAUGCUGGACCUGUUUUCACACUCUUCCUUCUAUGCUUGAAUCUUGCUGAAGUAAUCAUAUGAGUUUGAAACAUUCAAGAUGAAUGAUAAUUAUCUUUCAUGUAAGGGCUUGCGGUGUUUGAUGAGUAGCUAGAAUAUAUAUCAACUUCUAAAGUUGCUCAGUGGUUUU